GCAAACCCAUUCCAGCGCCAUUCCUUGUACAUUUCAUUGUUUCUUCCUUUUUCUUUCUUUUUCUUUUCAUUUUGCUCUGUUCUGGGCUGGAGGAGGACGGAGAGCAGAGAUGAGGAGAACGAGGAGGAGAGCGAGGAGGAGAGGGGAGUAGGAAACAGCGGGAUCGUGGAGAUUGAAUCCUUGCACUUUGAAGAGUUUACUGAAUUUGCUAUCUCUAGGGGGUUUUUUGGUUUAUAGCUGCACAGGAGAACCUUUUUGGACAUCGGGGAUCAGCUCGGAGAACUAGGUAGGGAUCUUAGUUAUUUGAUAUGUAUUCUUUUUGUAUAGAAUGUAUUUGAAUAUGUUACGACCUGAAACUUUUGUUUAGUUGGUUUAGUGAUGUGGUUGAGAAAAAUUACACUCUUUUGAUAAGUAUAUAUAUAUACAUUAGAGGUUG